rnacentral:snoRNA from 1 species
AAGAUCAUACUUCACAGGAUCAUUUCUGUAGUAGAUCUUCGCAUACUCUCUACUCAAAUGUAGAGUUGUCGCAACCAUGAUGACGAGUUGAAACCUCGUGUUCUGAGCGUGAGGCAGACAAUAUGCAUUUACGUGUAUAUUUGUCAACGAUGAUCGUUCACUCACUGGAUAUAUCCAAUGAGGAUGGAUACGAGGUAUUCUGAGUGGU